UCACCUUUCAUCGACUGACUUCUCUCAGGAUAUAUAUGGCACUAAUAUAAAUGUUGUCAACUAGCUGCUAAUCAAUACUGAUUUUCAUAGUUGUGUCCCGACAAGGGGACAUGAAACCACUCAUUCCCUGAACACAUGCAUUUGUGCCUUAAUCCACUGAGAAGUCUGAACUAUAUGGGAGUUGACUGGGUACUUUGAGGAAACAGUGUGAUGUGUAU